UGGCAGUUUAGUGCACAUAUACUAAAACUUGAACGAUACAGAGAAGAUCAGCAUGGACCCUGAACAAGGAUGACAUACAAAUUCAUGAGGCAUUCCAUAUGUUG